GAACAUGAACUCUAUGUGAGCGCCUUGUCCCUGCUCGGUUAGCCGUGCGGGGGGAGGUGCCAUGCCUUAAUAACAAUAAACGACUCUCGGCAACGGAUAUCUCGGCUCUCGCAUCGAUGAAGAACGUAGCGAAAUGCGAUACUUGGUGUGAAUUGCAGAAUCCCGUGAACCAUCGAGUUUUUGAACGCAAGUUGCGCCCGAAGCUUUGGCUGAGGGCACGUCUGCCUGGGCGUCACGCAUCGCGUCUCCCCCACACCGCCAUGAGCGGAGGGGAAGGAAGAUGGCUUCCCGUGUCUCACCCGGCGCGGUUGGCCUAAAAUUGGAGCCCGCGGCACUUAGCUCAGCGGCGAUAGGUGGUGACCAAGGCCUAGGCCGUGCAAACAACCCGCCGCGAAGCUCUAUGCCACGUGCGCUCGUCGGACCCUUUGACGUUGCCUUCGGCGACUCAAACCUUUGCG
rnacentral:rRNA from 1 species